rnacentral:rRNA from 1 species
UACGAAGGGGGCUAGCGUUGUUCGGAAUUACUGGGCGUAAAGCGCACGCAGGCGGCUCGUUAAAUUAGAAGUGAAAGCCUUGGGCUUAACCUGAGAAUUGCUUUUAAGACUGGCGAGCUAGAAUCCAGAAGAGGGUAGUGGAAUUCCAAGUGUAGAGGUGAAAUUCGUAGAUAUUUGGAAGAACACCAGUGGCGAAGGCGACUACCUGGUCUGGCAUUGACGCUCAUGUGCGAAAGCGUGGGGAGCAAACAGG